AUACGUAGGUGGCAAGCGUUGUCCGGAAUUACUGGGUGUAAAGGGCGUGUAGGCGGGGGAGCAAGUCAGAUGUGAAAUCCCAGGGCUUAACUCUGGAGCUGCAUCUGAAACUGUUCUUCUUGAGUGUCGGAGAGGAAAGUGGAAUUCCCAGUGUAGCGGUGAAAUGCGUAGAGAUUGGGAGGAACACCAGUGGCGAAGGCGGCUUUCUGGACGAUAACUGACGCUGAGGCGCGAAAGCGUGGGGAGCAAACAGGAUUAGAUACCCUGGUAGUCCACGCUGUAAACGAUGGAUACUAGGUGUAGGAGGUAUCGACCCCUUCUGUGCCGGAGUUAACACAAUAAGUAUCCCACCUGGGGAGUACGGCCGCAAGGUUGAA
rnacentral:rRNA from 1 species